CGGUUGCCCUGUCCUGAGGGCUUUGCUGUCCUGAGGGCUUUGCUGUCCUGAGGGCUUUCCUGCCCUGCAAAAGUGCGGGCUCAGACCCCCUCUUCCUUGGGUAGUGCGCUGGAGCCCGAAUAGAUUUUCAUAAGAAAGUACCAUUUGGGGCUUGGGGAGGUGUAAAACUCGCCUAAUUCCUUUUCUUAAGAAAACCUACCCCCUCAGCUUUGUGAGACUUCUGGUGAUGUUUAAAUCAGGAUUUUAGAAGGGAUUUUAGGAGGUAUGUCUGCAACCAGUGUCUACAUUCAAAUGACAAAGGCAGGGAUCGAACUCGGGUCCUUGAGCUUGCGAGGCAGGCAGCGGAACCACUGAGCUAAAUCCCCGGCCCAUUUAUCUCUCUAUUCUUAUCAGACAACAUGGAUAAAUCGAUAAAAGGAGUGGAGAAGAGGCUGUGGUGUCCAAAGCCUUCAGGAAAGAAGGGAAUGAUUGAAAAGUGAAGAGGAAACUGAAUUGCUUUUUUGUGUUCAUGGACAAGAGGGCUUUGGAUCAUGAUCAUUUACGCCAGGUCAUUUAUAGGUGAACUUCAGACUUUUCCAAGUGACAGUAUAUGGAGACCCUGACCGGACUUCAGUUCCCAUGAGAGAGUGGACUCACAUACUGUGCCUGGCCAGUAACUGUUGUGGAAUGAAUGAAGAAACAAGGUGUAAUGUGCAGUACUGCACUUUUCAGACAAUCAUAUCCUUGUCUG